AGCUAUUGAAUUACUUCCUUUACUCGCAGGCAAACUGGGGGAGGAGGCGGCCGGGUGCGCUCACUGGCGUCAUCAUACGCACGUAUUUUGACGCUGGUGGGCGAGGACUCGGCCCUGGGCGCUCCUGGGUUUUCCGUCCCGGCUUUUGAGGACGAGGCCGAGAAGCCCAGGCAGGUCACGGGCAGCAGGCAGCCGAGCCGGUGCCCUCCACCUCACGGGAUGUGAGGCCACCUGCAAGGCCCCGGGUGCGGCCCACGGCGCCUCGUGCCACCCCCCGAAUGUCGAGGCAGGAGCGGCGCGACGAGG